AGAACGAACGCUGGCGGCAUGCCUAACACAUGCAAGUCGGACGGGGGGUUUCGGCCUCUAGUGGCGGACGGGUGAGGAGCGCGUGGAGAACCUGCCCCGGGGUGGGGGAUAACACUCGGAAACGAGUGCUAAGACCGCAUACGACCGGUAGUUGAUGGACUAGCGGGGAAAGCAGUGAUGUGCCCUGGGAGGGCUCCGCGUCGGAUUAGCUGGUUGGUGGGGUAACGGCCUACCAAGGCUGCGAUCCGUAGCUGGUCUGAGAGGACGGCCAGCCACACUGGGACUGAGACACGGCCCAGACUCCUACGGGAGGCAGCAGUUAGGGAAUUUUGUCAAUGGGCGAAAGCCUGAACGAGUGACGCCGCGUGCGGGAUGACGCCUUUCGGGGUGUAAACCGCUUUCCCCAGGACGAGGAUGGACGGUACUGGGGGAAUAAGUCUCGGCUAACUACGCGCCAGCAGCCGC
rnacentral:rRNA from 1 species